CUAAGAGAGAGAAAAUAGUGCUCCGAAGUCCAAAUAGGUUUCAACCGACCUUGGGAUGUAUGGUGCUCCGAAGCGUCGCUGACUAUAGAAAGGCCACCGCAUACAACGGCUAUAUUUCGGUUCAGCCUAAAGCACAGUUUGAUUUUCAAAAUGUAGCCGUUGCUAGUUCGCUCAGUCUCUCCACUAGCGAGGUUGGAUAGAAAGUUCGGGGGAGAAAGCAGAGCGUGGAGAGAGAGAGAGAAGGCUUCGACGAAGCAGCGGUCAGGUGACGAAACCCACCGCGCGCCAUCCCCUUUCUCUCGGGCGACGAAAACGGACGGAGAGGAGAGAAAGAGGGGAGAAGCAGAGAUCAGGGGGGAGAGAGAGGGGCGGGAGGGGAGAAAUAGAGGAAAAAGGUGACGAGAUCCACCGCAAGCCACUGCCCUGGCUGAACCCAUCGAUCGCUACUCGCAAAUUGCAGGCCAGGUAAUCUCUCAUCUAUACGUUUAGUAUUUCACCAUGAAUUAGGGUUUAUAGGUUUCCGUUUUCCCAUCCCUUAUUCUUUCUCACCAAGUAAUUGGAUCUCAUAAAAUAGGACAAAAAUUCAACGGAUUGUCUUUGACUGCCACUUUCAUUAACAAGGAGAUGACCUAAAUCAUUAUGUUGUGGAUUUUUGUAUUCUAGAAAUCAUUUUGUAUCUGAAAAUAUCAUGAAUUUGAUAGUGAGGUUUGGUUCGUCAUAAUCUAUAUUGGCCUACCACUUGUUGGGUUUCGUCAUUUGGUUGUAGGUCCCCACUGUUUAUUGUUUCGAUCCCAAACUAAAAAAUGGGCUUGAUUGGGUUACGUUUGGAAAUUGAUAUAUGCUUUCUUUUUAAUUAGCUCAUUGGUAAGAUUUGAAAUAUUGUGGAUACUCUUUUGAUGUCUUUUCAGGAGGUUCAGAUUUGAAAUAUUGUGUUUUACCUUUAGCACUGAUGUACACUUCAAUGGCCCGUGUCCAUAACAAAAAAUUUAAGCCAUUCAACUUAAUGGCAGUGAUUUGCAUGUUAAAAGGUAUUAGGUACAGUUACUUUCCGAAUUAAUGCAAUAAACAGAAUUUGAGUGGCAGUUUUUUUCAAAUUGACUGAAGCCAGAGACAAACUUGGACACAGAGGUGAUUGUUGAAGAACUUCUCAGAAACAGAGCAUGCCAACAGAAGCUCUUCAAUAGAGCACAUAGCAACACCAAAACGCGCAAACGUAAGAACCAACAUAUAUGGAGAAUCCUAAGAACAGUCAGCGAAACAAUGAAAGGCUGAUAGAACUUGCCAUAAAUCAUUAGAACUUGCUAUAAAUCAUUCAAACCCGACAACUAUGUCCUGUAAUACAUCUGCAUCCAGAUCUGGACACACUAGAAACACAUUUGUUCUCUUGUCUGUAACUGUCAAUGAAAAAGACAUCUGAUGUUCAAAACAUCACAAACAGUUUCACUGCAACCAACACAGCAGGAAUAAAAUCAGAUCAGAACCUCAAAUGAACAGAGAUAGUCCAUAAAUAUGGAAAUCAAUAGCAAAAAGAAAAGGGAAAGAAAUUUAUCACUGUUUAUUAUGGCAGGAUUGUAUUCCAUAAAGCAUAAACUGACAGUGUAAGUAUGUCGUUUGAUGUCGAACAAUUUUUCGUACAAUUAUAGACCAAAUUUCUGAACAUUAGUUAUGGAGAUGCUUGGAGAUUGUGAAUUUUAAUAGUUUGUGGACCUGCUUCUUAAUUGUUGUACGACUCUGGUUUUAAUUUUGGAGACAUGUGCUCUCUUAGUAGUCAUCUCAUUCAUCUUUUAACAUACACAGACAAA